rnacentral:lncRNA from 1 species
UUGAUUCCAAUAACUCUGAGUUACUUGCUUCUGUAAAUGGAUAUGUUCAUGAUAUAAUAGAAAUUGAAAUCCUCCUAAGAAAGCGAUACUUGAUGAGUAUUAUUCUCGUUCCUGUCAUGCAUCAAGUAACAUUGAUUUUGCAGGCAUAGCUUUGAUUCGUAUUUUCGAAUUUACACAUAAAAUAUCAUCAGGCAUCAGCAAGCGAGAUACAAAAGUCAGCUACAUUUUAUUUACGAGAUCAUUCACAUGCACAGGCUACAGAUCUCAGAGAUUAGGACAUAGCCAACAACGAAGUCAAGGAUUCGCUUCCAAAUUGCGGUUCGUGUACUCUACAUUCUCACACACAAUUUCAGCAGUGCUUGUUUAAGAUUGUCUCAAUACCGCCUUGAGCUAUAGGGUGGUAAGUCUCGCGAGCGGCUGCAAACACCUGCUUGGCCAGAAUCUUCUCUUCUUCAUUUCCAUUGCCUUCCACAAGAGCCCUGUAGAGGGGGACAAG